GAGACACCCUUCUGGGGCAAGACUUGCUUCAGUGGGGCUUUGGUGCUCACUGAGUCUGCCUCCUGAGUGUGUCCCU
rfam:Myotis lucifugus cont2.13103, whole genome shotgun sequence.